GGUCCAAUAGCUCAGCGGUACGAGCGAUUGUUUCACCUUCGGCGCACGCCGCUUCUGAUCACAACAGGUCGGCGGUUCGAUCCCGUCUUGGAUCA